CGUCACCCCACUUACAACCGAUCGGCGAGAACGUAUAUAAAGGCGUCCGAGAUUCUGAUUUCGGCAUAACACAUUUUUGUGAAGAUCUAUUUUCUGUUUACACAUUUAUCCACAAAAACCAACCAACAAAUCCAAAAUGGGUGCCGAAAAAGUAACCAUGAACAUCGUCGUCGUUGGACAAGUCCAAUCUGCCAAGGCCAUCAAAUCGGUCGCCAAAGCCACGCUAGCCACCAGCCAACAGAUGAACUGCUAAUUGAUGUAGUCCAUACAUUGCAAACCUCAAAAAUGCCUUAGCCCAAACAAUACGAUAAUAAUAAUAAUAACAUUAUGUAAUUUAUUCAGUAUUGACACCGUAAAAUAAAUCAGUCGUUUCCKAUGUACUUACAAAUCUA